rnacentral:tRNA from 1 species
GGGCUGGUAGUUCAGUCUGGUAUGAACGUUCGAUUCGCAAUCGAAAGGUCGCGGGUUCAAAUCCCGCCCAGUCCACCA